rnacentral:rRNA from 1 species
UACGGAGGGGGCUAGCGUUGUUCGGAAUUACUGGGCGUAAAGCGCGCGUAGGCGGCUUUGCAAGUUAGAGGUGAAAGCCCGAAGCUCAACUUCGGAAUUGCCUUUAAAACUGCGAGGCUAGAAUUGUGGAGAGGUAAGUGGAAUUCCCGGUGUAGUGGUGAAAUGCGUAGAUAUCGGGAGGAACACCAGUGGCGAAGGCGACUACCUGGCCUGUUCUUGACGCUGAGGCGCGAAAGCUAGGGGAGCAAACGGG